rnacentral:rRNA from 1 species
UACGUAGGGUGCAAGCGUUGUCCGGAAUUAUUGGGCGUAAAGAGCUCGUAGGCGGUCUGUCGCGUCGGCUGUGAAAACUCGGGGCUCAACCCCGAGCCUGCAGUCGAUACGGGCAGACUAGAGUGCUGUAGGGGAGACUGGAAUUCCUGGUGUAGCGGUGAAAUGCGCAGAUAUCAGGAGGAACACCGGUGGCGAAGGCGGGUCUCUGGGCAGUAACUGACGCUGAGGCGCGAAAGCCAGGGGAGCGAACGGG